GGCUUUGCGCAGUGGCAGUAUAAGUAGCCAGUGAGGUUUGUCCGAGGCGUGAUUAUUGCUAAUUGAAAAAUAAAAACUAUACAAC
ensembl:snRNA U4 U4 spliceosomal RNA